CCAUCAAUAAUGCGGUAAACUUUAAAAAAAAAAAUAAACAGUAUAAUAUGUCUUAGGUUCAAUGCCAGUCUUCUCCAGAAGCUUAUUAAUGGUUUGAUUUACCCCCUUCAGCUGAACACUCUUCUGAAUGAACCUGGCAGUCCAACUUUACAACCCAAGACCGCCAACUUCACGAUCACUUCAAACCAGAUUGUUGGACAGAUGGAAUACAGCUUCCAGGAUGGAGAUGUCAUACAACCAGUCAGCUUCCUCAAUGAGCUACGUCAACCAACCACUACUACAGUGUUUCCAGAAACAACAUUUGGUUUCUCUGUGACUCCUUCAAACCUCAUAUCUGGUUCAGCAGUGGUCACAAGCAAGCUGGUGUUCAACUCCUCAUCUCCAGUGCCC